CUUUUUUAAUUUAUUCAGUACUGAGCCACAGUUUUUGUUUGAUUUUGGAGUCUUGACUGGUGUUAGAGAGUAGGUCCUCAUUUUAAAACCUUGAAAUCCUUUGCACAGACAGCUGUUUUAGCUAAUCUAAAUUGAUAGACAAAUGUAAAUUCCUCGUGGGAUCUUGGCAGAGCCUUGACAGGAGUAACUGGAUAAUCAGAUUGCAUGUAGAGAGAACUCUCAGCGCAAGUCUUCACACCAAACUGUUUGCUGUUCCAAGGUCUACCAAGGUGUAUACCCGAUACAAAUGCUACAUUGGUAUUUUGAAGCCAUAUACGCUUCACUGAUGACAUUUCUGAAUUCAUCCGCAUAUACACAAUAUGUUUGAAGAGAAAAGAAGAUUCUUCUUUUGAAAAAAUACAAGUUCUCUGGUUUUGCCACCAGCCAGUCAUGGACAAUAGCAUCUUUGGAGGUUCAUUUAAAAAAAAAAAAAAAAAAAAAAAAAGGAAAAGAAAAGUACGUUUAGCUUUAGAGAGAAGUUGAAUACGAUGAUUCACUGAUCAUAGUGAGUACUGUUGAGUAAUAACAAGAAGAGAACCCUUGAAAGGUGCCUAUGGACUGAGAAGGAGCAGGAGCAGGAAGCAGGAUCAAGGCUUGGACUUUGGCUUCUUGUGCUGUUCUGUCAAUGAGGAGGCAAGAGUUGUAAAAGAAGCUGUGAAUGGACAGAACAAAGACAACUGACCAAACAGGCCAGAGGGAUGUUCCAUACCAUAUGAUGUCAUGCUCAGCCAUAAAACUAGGUGGAGUUUUCUUGAGGAGCUGCUACUGUUCGUGGACUGGCAUCAGCGAGCAGCUACAGCUGAUUGAACUACUCCAAGAGGAGCCACUCCCAGCUCUUUGUCUGGGUGCAGACUGCUGUGGUCUGUGAACACAAGUGCCAUGGGAUCUUCCCAGGUUUUUCUGGAAGCCUACAGAUUCUGAAUGGAUAAGUUCUGGGCCAGACAACAUUUUGGAAGUGAACUUCCUUUGGUGACCUUUCUUUAAAGUUGCAUGCUCUACCUUCACAUGACCAAAUGUGCAACCAUCAUAUAAUUAAAAGAUGACAACCAUGGAGUCUGAGAAUGCAAGAACAUGUCUUCUACUGCCAAGGACCAGCUGACACCCACAGAGGCACAGAAUGGGAAAUGCUGUGUGCACCAAAAGGGAGGAAGUUUAUAAAAAGAUUUUUGUUUUCAUUCAUACUGUGACCAAAGUAACGUCCCAGUUUAAACAUUAAACUCAAGAUCAUUAACUUGUCACAGUGAUUUCUGGCUUAAAACUUUAUAGUAAAAUAAGAAGGCAUAAAAAGGCUUAUUAAUUGAUAAGAUAAAGCUUGCUAAAAUGUAAUGCUUUCCAUAUUUUGUAAAGAGAAUGAUUUAAAGUUAUAUUAUUGAAACUACAUGAAUUGUUUAAGCCAGUUACUAACUCACAUGUCAUGCCUGAAAUGUAAAACUCUGACAAAAAUGCUGGGUUUCACUUUUGGAUUCCCAAAAAUGUAAAAUAUCAGGGUUUAAGUCUCUCUUUUGCUAAAAAUAAAGACAAUAUACAAAAAUGUAAUCCAUACUUAGGAAAUGUAAAGAAACACAAGCAAAUAAAUAGUGCUCACUGAGUUAAAGACUGAUGUCAGUAGCAAAUGAUUUCCAUAAGAAAAUUGACUGUCUCACACAUAGCUGUUAACUUUAACGCUGUAAAAUAGAUAGAAUUUGAAAUGAAGUGACAAUACUCAUCUCACAUUUAUUAUGUUGUCUUGGGGUUCUAAAGGUAGAGAAAUUAUUUUAUUACAUUUUCAUUUGAAAUCUGAAUGCAUUAUCAUUCCAGAGCUAGAAAAAUUAAUUUUGUAUUUUGAUCAACAAAUAGUUGCUGUUCCUGUGGAGGCUGACCUCUUCUUCUGAUUGUGGUAUUUUUCUUCCUAGAGUAGUACAGAAAGUUUCAAGCAGCUUCAUUUAUUAACAAUGGUAUAUUUCACCCACAUCAUAUAUGAACUAUCCCAUAUGCAAAAGGAAAUGAUUGACAGCAAAAAGUCAAAAUUUACCACAUCUUGUUUUCUUCAGUUUUAAUAACUCAGCUAACGGCUUUUGGUUUUGAAAACUGAUCUUAUCAGCCACUAUCACCGUCCUCAUACUUACCCUUUAUCUUUCACCAUAUUGAAAGUUUUUCUGAGAAAUAUCUGGUUUUCAAAUGAGUCAUUCCCUUUUGCUACUACUGCCUAUAGGACAGCCAUAUCCCAGAACACUGGACAGUCUGUACCUUAACUGUUUGAAACGGAGCUAAUAACUCUCAGCAUGGCUUUGCCUUGAGUAAAAUAGGUCAUUCUGGAUAUUGCCAAUAAAUGAAAGGAUUAUGACAUUUUUUCCGACUGAUCCAUUCUCUUUCAUACUUGUCAUUCAAAAGUAGACAAUGCAUCUACAGUCUGGUCUCUAAUUAGAUUUUAUUAAGUUGAAGUUUCUGUUAUCCAGAAAUUGCAAUACUGCGUUUAUAAAUGAGGGGUCAGGUCAUGAAGGUUUUCCUCUCAUUCUGAUGAAUGAUCUGGACAGGUAAGAAAAACUUCAGUAU
rnacentral:lncRNA from 1 species